UACAGAGGUCUCAAGCGUUGUUCGGAUUCAUUGGGCGUAAAGGGUGCGUAGGCGGCGCGGUAAGUCGGGUGUGAAAUCUUGGAGCUUAACUCCGAAACUGCAUUCGAUACUGCCGUGCUUGAGGACUGGAGAGGAGACUGGAAUUUACGGUGUAGCGGUGAAAUGCGUAGAUAUCGUAAGGAAGACCAGUGGCGAAGGCGGGUCUCUGGACAGUUCCUGACGCUGAGGCACGAAGUCCAGGGGAGCAAACGGG
rnacentral:rRNA from 1 species